UGCUAAUGGGGUAGGAUCCGACGCCUCGCUGGAAGGCUAACAUAGGCUCUCCUACUCAACUCCCAGACCGGCACGUCCACGUCGUGCAGAGCGGUCACAUGCGUUGCCAAGGGGUGCAAGGGCUGGUUGGUCCCUUUUCUUCUCUGGUCAAGAAGAAGCUAGUAACGCAUGGCCAAGCCGGAGGGAGGGGUAGUGAAGGAAGGAAGUCAAGGAAGAGAUGGGCCACCUCUCCUUUUUUACUUCCAACACUACCUAACGGUUCCUGACGACCAAAGUGGGGAGGCUCGUGCCCCGGUCUCACUGCAAUUGGAAUAACGAUCGACCAAACGUCGGAACAUCCAUUGAAUACCUUUAAUCGUUUUUCUUUGCAUAGAUCAACACGCAUGCAUUCCAUCCAUAGGCUUCUGGGUAGCCUCAACUUUACGUGAAAACGAUAGAACGCUGAUGAUGUGCUGCUUCACAAUCAUACUUAUAAACACAUACCAGCUUCUAAUCCGCUUUCUGUGGCGCCUACCGGGAGUGUUGGUCUUGUGAAGUUGUUUGACAAUGAGUCGUCGGCCAUGAAGUAACAAUCGCACCAUGAGUUCCUUGUAACUUGUAAAAAAUAUUUGCUAAAUAACACGAUGGUUAAGGAUUGAAACCAACUACCAUCAUAUCAUAUUCGUGCUUCAACACUUGAGCGGACCAAUUUUAAAUACCAGCUCAUCUGUGGUAUGCAUUUCAAGUGGUGGGCAAACGAAUAUUCCACAUUCACUGCUUGAUCUAAAGAAACUGCCCCAGCCAGACUCAUCAACCAGCAGUCUGAAACUUGGGAUGUCUAGUAUGUAAUCCAUCAUGAUCAAUCGACAAAACUACCAUUAUCAUCAAGAUUCGUCCAUUUCGUCCAUGACAAUACGCAGCUUCUUCGAGGGUAUGUACGCAUCUCACUCCUUUAGACUUAAUUUAGUUAUGGGGAGACAACAAAUUGUUUUAAUCAUCAUCAAGAUUAGAAGUUCUAGGUACAGAAUUUAGUUUAUGCAUAGCUCUUAAUCAUCAAGCGCCGUUGGGCAAAUUUAGUUUAAGGUUUCAAGUUUAAGGGAAUCGCAAACAAACCGAUCGACUUGUCUGUGGUAUUGAGCUAAACCUAUUGCUCUCUGGUUGUUGUACAAUGACAACAAAGUGAUGCUUCUAGCACCAGCACAAAGCUCCGCUAUUACUGGAGAUUCAGGAAUGCUUCGAUUCAGAAUACAAAACCUUUUCGUAUAGCAAGCCACAUAAUUCACAUGCUUUUCGCGACUUUUGGAAUUCUAGAAGAAGUAUAAAUUGAACAAUUGUAUAUAAAAAUGGUAAACAAUAUAGAACAGGCGAUUCUCUAGGGCACAAGUUUUCCAAUUUCAAAUCAGCUCCAGAUUGCUUUCUUCUGCGUUACAAUACAUCUUGUCCUUUUAAAAUGAGGCCAUGCUGCAGAUAUAACAUCUACUGCGUCCAGGGCAGUGAAACCAAUGCUGUCAUUGUGAUGGCUUAAAUCAUUACUAUUAUUCUGAGCAGCUGCUUCUAGGGGGUUCCAAAGGAAACUGAAAUAUAUUCCUACCCUAGCGAGGUCUUGUUUGUGGCAAGCACUAUUGCCGUUGCAGAUCUGCCGUUUUGAUCAAUAGCCUCAUUCGAUUCUCUCUCUUCAAGAGGCUCUCUACUCAAGACUAAGUUGUAGACUUUUCUAUACCUCCGGGUAUGCUUGCGUUAUGCAUGAACAUUCCAUUGAAUUAUCCUGCAGUACAAUGCGUACGCUUUUCAACCACUUAAAUUUCACCUAUCAUCUCAUCAAACAAACAUAAUUUCCGGUCGAUUCCGGCGUUCUUUAUCUGAAGCAGUAGCGUGGCGGGAUGCUUUAUGUCCUCCUGAUACUCCUACUAUUAUAUAUUUUUCACAAUCUGAUACCAAGAUGUAAUGACUCUUGAGCAUAGCCGUUGGUCAAACAUUUUACUAAAACAGUUCAUUGGCUUUGUUGCAAUUUUAGUAUAUGUCCAGCCGAAGCUAGAACUAGUCCACAAUUUACACUAGAGCUUCUCUACGGCUCAUUCUGCCGAUGGUGAUGCCGUUGUUGGGUUUGGCAGCGAACGCUAAAUUUAAUAACGCUGAGUCUAUUCACCUAAUUCCCUCACUUUUAUAUACAGGUACCGUGAGGCAUAGCCUAGCAGCUCAAGGAAUCGGCUAUUGUUGUCCUUUUCAUCAUCCUCGUCCAUUUCCGUUCAGCGCUUAUCGCCAUGUCCUACACACGGAUCACACAACACGUUUUUCUCACUCACCUGUUUUCAAAUCGAACCGCUUAACGAUGAUGGCGAGAUGAUCGUUUGGUUCGUUUGGUUGGUGUCCUUAGCAAAAAAGUUGAGGAUAACAAAUUCAAAAGGUGUGCAUGAGUACAUAGAAACAUUGUCCCACCUUCCAUAAGCGGGGGAAUGCUGCUUCGUUGGAAGAAGCAACAGCUGCUUAUGCGGCAGGACCGGGGUUCUAAUCCCAUCUGGACCGUUCUCCCGUAGUGAGAUAACUGACUAUCCAACUACGUGGUUAGGCCAAAGAAGAAGAAGAAGAAGAAGCUUCCUGUGUUUGUUGCUAUCUUCGAGCGGAUUCUCUACUCAGUACACAUCAUGUGGUUUAUGAUGGCUUUAAGCCUUUUAAAUGUACACCAUAUUCGGAAUGUGUAUUCAUCCUCAAUCAUGCUAGUCUUAGAUGCGGUAAAGCAGAGUAUUGCUAGCACGGAACUUGAUUUCCACGAUCGAUGCAUGCUCGCAUGGAACGGCUAGUUCAGUUGAAUUCGUCCCCUGUGUUACAUUUUAUUUGUCCUCUUCAAGUUGAGUAUGAAAUACUGAUAUAAUCACUCAUUUCUACAUUAUCCUCCACCGAAAAUAUAUUGUUACACUUCAUUAUCUAUCCUUAAGAGCGCUUGCCAUGUUCAAGAACAGUGGAUGAUACCCUACCCUACUGCUCCCUAUUGAUGAUGGUCCUCAUCAGCAACACAGCAAUCAAAUCGCGACCUUGUUGCCUACAAUUACCUCCGCCUCAGCACAAAUGUUAGUUUCGGAAACUGGUUAUGGCUGGCUGGCUUGUUGCAUCGCACCACAGCGUACUGAUUGUUGUGCACUUUAGAACCGGACGCUGACUUCCUCGAUAGUUACCAAUAACGGGAGCAGCAUCGCCGCUGACAACAGCAGGAAUAGUGGUCCUGGUCCCUUCACUACCACACCAAGCGCACAAAUACUGGUCCGGGUUUUAUUCAUCUGUAGCUACCAUAGAUCAUCCGACAGACAAGAGAACCCGUUCUGUCUUACAGUCACUAUGAUUUUCCAGCCAAAUGCCAACCAUUAUUCGCGAACGCUGAGUAAAAGUUUUGUAAGAGAGAGUUGCCUCUUAGAAUCCAAAGGGUUAAGAAGAUUAUAGGACACUUUACAUAGACUUAUGUUUAAAGCAGAACAAGCUGUUAGAGCGUAGCAAAAAUUUGAAGGCUUUCACUGUGUUUGUAUCCUAUUUGAGUAGAGAUAUGUACGUCUGAAGUCAAUACUACACCGCAAAGGUCCACCUCUUGUAACGAACAGUGGUUAGCAUUCGGCUGGAGAAUCAUAGAAACUUUGGGACAGAGCGGAUACUCUUGUCCCUCGGAUGAUUUAUGGAAGCUUCAGGUGAAUAAAAUCUGGGUCAAUAUUUGUGUGGGAUGGUGUGGUCGUGAAAGGGCUUUGGCCAGCAUUUCUGUUGUGGUCGGCAGUGACGCUGCUUCUGCUCUGGUACUAUCGAGGAAUUCAACGUAAGGUUCUAGGGUGUAAAACACAUGCGUUAUGCAUUAUGCGAUGAUACGUUCAGCAAUUAUAAAGUAAACCAUAAGAAAAUAACAUUCGUACGACUGGUGAGAUAAUUGAGGCUAGCAAAAUCGCGAUCUGAUUGCCUUGGUGCUGAUAAGGACUCAUUAUCAAUAGGAAGCAUAAAGAUGGCGGUGUUUCUCGAUCUCGGUGCAAUUUUCUACGACUGUAUCAAGCAUUUUAGAUAUUCACACAUUUACUAGUGUAAAUGUUUGAAGAUUUACUGUGCUUGAUACUUCUGCUUGGAUUGUGCUUCAUAAAUGAAUAUUAAAAUAAAGUCAGUGCGCGGUACAUCGUCGUUGGAGUUACGAGCUACGUUAGCUGGUAACUUGCAUCGGCAGAUCUGAUUUGCUGCCAUUAUGCAACUGAUGCAGUCCUUCGUUCGAUGGCCAUUUACUCUCGGCUAUUAUCUGAAAAGUAGGGAAGUUCCUCAAGACUAUUCCUUCCUGAUUUAUGAUACACUAGUGCCACUAACAAGCACUUGAAAUUCUGAUAAUUUCAGAAAGAUAUGAAAAUUGUGUUCCGCGAACAUCUCGGUUUCUGCAAAAGCUGUCAAAUCCAACAAGAUAUUGGAAGCUGUAACGACAUACCGUCUCCAUUCGUAUUGGCUUUGGGCAAUACAGUAACUUCGUCUCGCACGGUGAUGCACGAUGAUGAUAGUGAUGAUAACGGCUAUUGCACAAGGACGAUUGACCAACAGCUCCUAUCCGUUGAAUGCGUUUAAUACUAGCCAAGGUGUCUAAGUCACAGUUUUAAUUUGAUCGGUAAAGUUUUAUAUGAAUUUAAAAGAAAAUGUGCUACUUGCGCAUCAGCUUUUGAGACUUUGCUUUCAAUGGUUUGGCCAUUAUGUCCGAUUGCUGAUGAUGAGAUGAGAUGAGAAGAGAACGUUCGUUUAAAUGCUUGUUACCUUCUGAUAGAUGAUCGUCUUCUUGCCGCAUUUAUUACGAUGAUGGUCUCUACCAUUUUAGUGAAAUCCGUUUAACAAGGGUUCUAUCCACUGACAACGCAGCCUUCAGUUUGACCUGCUCGAGUCGAAGAAUUUGAAAUAUUAUUUGAAAGAUCGUCAAAUAACAACCAUCGUUCCACAUAUUUUGAUUGGCGAAUUGAGGAAUGAUGACGAUCCCGGACACUUCCUUUGAACAAUGUUAUUAUUGUUAUUUUUACUAUUACUAUUACUAUUAUUAUUAUUAUUACUAUUAUGAUUACAUAUGUAUGGCCUCACAGGAUUUUGAUUCGCUUUGAGCAACUCUUUGCGAAAGAAAACGACCGGUAAGGGUCGACUAUUAAACCGAUCCACCUACCAAUGGCCACCGAGCGUUAGGAAAAGCCACCCAUCCACCAUCCGUUACUGAUGAGGAACGUCUCUCGUUACAAACCCGGAAAAGCUUUUCACUGGGAGUAGCUUAUACCAUCGCGUUCUUGUUCUUGAGUUCAAGGUGGGAAAAUCACAUCAUUGCCUUCUUCCCAACGCUCGUUAGCCGUUCGUCGGUGGAUCGGGUUGAUCUUCGUCCGAUAACGGUCCAUUUGCGUCAUUUCAAAAAGCGCUCUCUAUCGCAGAACUUUGUAACUCAGCUAUCGCACACUGAAGCAGAUCUUUGCAAGCAUCCUGUUCAAAAUUGAAUCAAAGAUAAAAUUCAAAUUGAAAUCUUUUUAUUUGUACACUGCAUUCAAAGGCUUCAGCUUGUGCUGGUAAGGAUUUCACUCAACGCACUUAAUUUAAGGUUAAAAUUGAAAAACAAAACUCAUCAUUUUAUCGUUUGGCUGGGUCUCACGCACAACAAGUCGCAAAGGUUUUGCUUUUCUUUUACUUCUGAACUUGUGGUUCAAGGCUGUUAUGUUGCAUUGGGUUGUAAUUGUUGCUUUAACGAAAGUUGAAGAAAAUGCUUGUACAUAAAACCAACAGUUUCUUAAAGCAACAAAAUCUAUCGUUAGUGUCCAUAGUUUGCGUGGUUUAGACAGAUAUUUAAAACGGAACAUAAAGGAAAAUAGAAAGUAGAUCUAUUCAUGUAAUCCUCUUAAUGGGAAACGAUGAUGUUGGAAGAAUAGAAUCAUAUCAACCAACACAUUUUUCUCCAACAGUUUUAUGUUAGAUAAUCUGCAACAGCGAUAAUGCGAUAGCAAUAAGAAUAUUCGAAACAUAAUUCGAGUUAAGCAAAAUAAUAAAAUGUAACACAAAAUAACUGUGUGCAAAACCAACAAACUGGUUUGUGUUAAUGUUGUCUUUAUUUAAAAGUUUUCUUUACGUCUACCAUACCAUAUUAGCUGGUGAUCAAUCAUUCCAUUGCAUCCGAAUCACCGUAAGAUAAGUACGACA